GGGCCUGUAGUCUAACCUGGUAGGAUAUCGAAAGACCUAAUGCCGCCCUUACACGGCAGAGGUUCCGGUUCAAAUCCGGACAGGCCCA
rnacentral:tRNA from 2 species